ACAAAGGCAAACUGUCAGAAAUGGCAGGACGCAAAAUCGUGGGCCUAAGGUCGUCCUUUUAUAAAGGCGGCUAUGGUUGCCAGACUG
rnacentral:ncRNA from 1 species